GAUUGUUAUAAUGCGGUGCUUAAUCACAAACACGAGGACACUCUUCAGGUCUCACCUCACUGGGUUGUAAACUUUAAUACAUUCUCACGUCGCGUGUACGGUCCAUCGUGCUCGGUCUGGUUACAAGGCAGUGUUUCCCAAUAACAGUCCGUGUGACUCACGGAACUAAACAAUAGUUCCUACUUAUAGUUCCUAUUGUUACAAUGAUUUGCUCAAAAGACACCUUUGUGAACUUUCUAAAUGUUGACAAUUGUGCUGUUUUAAAAGAAUUCACAGCAAAGCUCUAUUGUAUAGAGCAGUAAAAGAGUGUAUAACACGUUACUCCAAGAAUCCUACCUCAUGUGUGAUGAAAGAGUCCGUUAUGACUAUUACUAUUAACGUUGCACGCGCGGGAGACGUGGUAGCGCCAAGACCCGCCCUACGAAGCAGCUCAUUGCAUGGCUCACGAUUGAUUAGACUUUUCACCUCGAGUGGUUAAGGUUAGGAUAGCGGAUUGGUCAGGGGAUAGGACCUGAACAAAUAAAAAUGUUGUUAUCUAGAAUACAGGGCUUUUAAAAAGAAUGUAAUAGUAUAAAGGAAAUAUAAUCUGUGGGUAUACUCCAGUCCAGCGGUGGCGGUAAUACAACAACAAGUUAUCAACCGCCAGAUAAAAAUAGAAGAAGAAGAAGAAGAAGGACUGGAGGGGGCGUGUCUUGGCGCCAAUUCGUAAUUUCGUUGGGGUGAGAGAAGUGCGUCGGUAACUGCUGCUGCACCUGUUGGCUUUUGCCCCUGCCACGAAGAGAAAAACAAAGUGCUGGCAAAAAAGAGGCUACGGGUUCCCACUCAGAAAAUUGAAGGACCUGAGCUCCCCUCCCCCAAAUGAGCAAUCUGAAAUUCAUUUCCAUCGAUGAAUCCAUCACCUGACGGGGGACAUGCAACAGGCCGCAACACAGCUGGACCACCACCCUAUGGAUCCAGGCCGGGUCAGAGAGCUUCAGACUCUCUGCGACUUAAUUGGAGAGAGAUCUGGUGGCAGCCUAGCUUCACCAUCAGGCCAGCAGGAGCUGUUUCCUGGGAGCGGCAUAUUCAUCUCAUCAUUCCGCCUGGCUGCCAUGAAUCACGCAUCAAAACCAAAUUGCAUGAGUCUGUUUCAUGCACUUUUUGAUAAUUUCUUCACUGUUGAGGAGUGUCAAAAUGCAGUGCCCUUUGGUCACCCUGGCAACAACCCCUCAGGAAAGGAAGGAAAGCAGGUCCUUGACUGUAAAAAAGUUGACUGAAUCCUAAAUGUGCAACUCUACCGGACUGGGAACCAAUUGAGGAGGCCAAGCUAUGUGGACCGCGAUCUCUCUCUCUCUUUUGUGUGUGUGUGUGUGUGUGUGUGUUACACAAAUGCAGUUUUCAAUAUUGAGUAUUGUUUUUAGUUGUUUCUAAUUAAUAAAGAUAAUUAAUAUUUAAA